UCUGGUAUUGAUUGGUGCUUGCAUCAUGAUUUACAUUUGAGUGAGUGGCGAACUGGUGAGUAACACGUGGGAAACCUGCCCAGAAGCGGGGGAUAACACCUGGAAACAGAUGCUAAUACCGCAUAACAACUUGGACCGCAUGGUCCGAGUUUGAAAGAUGGCUUCGGCUAUCACUUUUGGAUGGUCCCGCGGCGUAUUAGCUAGAUGGUGGGGUAACGGCUCACCAUGGCAAUGAUACGUAGCCGACCUGAGAGGGUAAUCGGCCACAUUGGGACUGAGACACGGCCCAAACUCCUACGGGAGGCAGCAGUAGGGAAUCUUCCACAAUGGACGAAAGUCUGAUGGAGCAACGCCGCGUGAGUGAAGAAGGGUUUCGGCUCGUAAAACUCUGUUGUUAAAGAAGAACAUAUCUGAGAGUAACUGUUCAGGUAUUGACGGUAUUUAACCAGAAAGCCACGGCUAACUACGUGCCAGCAGCCGCGGUAAUACGUAGGUGGCAAGCGUUGUCCGGAUUUAUUGGGCGUAAAGCGAGCGCAGGCGGUUUUUUAAGUCUGAUGUGAAAGCCUUCGGCUCAACCGAAGAAGUGCAUCGGAAACUGGGAAACUUGAGUGCAGAAGAGGACAGUGGAACUCCAUGUGUAGCGGUGAAAUGCGUAGAUAUAUGGAAGAACACCAGUGGCGAAGGCGGCUGUCUGGUCUGUAACUGACGCUGAGGCUCGAAAGUAUGGGUAGCAAACAGGAUUAGAUACCCUGGUAGUCCAUACCGUAAACGAUGAAUGCUAAGUGUUGGAGGGUUUCCGCCCUUCAGUGCUGCAGCUAACGCAUUAAGCAUUCCGCCUGGGGAGUACGGCCGCAAGGCUGAAACUCAAAGGAAUUGACGGGGGCCCGCACAAGCGGUGGAGCAUGUGGUUUAAUUCGAAGCUACGCGAAGAACCUUACCAGGUCUUGACAUACUAUGCAAAUCUAAGAGAUUAGACGUUCCCUUCGGGGACAUGGAUACAGGUGGUGCAUGGUUGUCGUCAGCUCGUGUCGUGAGAUGUUGGGUUAAGUCCCGCAACGAGCGCAACCCUUAUUAUCAGUUGCCAGCAUUAAGUUGGGCACUCUGGUGAGACUGCCGGUGACAAACCGGAGGAAGGUGGGGAUGACGUCAAAUCAUCAUGCCCCUUAUGACCUGGGCUACACACGUGCUACAAUGGAUGGUACAACGAGUUGCGAACUCGCGAGAGUAAGCUAAUCUCUUAAAGCCAUUCUCAGUUCGGAUUGUAGGCUGCAACUCGCCUACAUGAAGUCGGAAUCGCUAGUAAUCGCGGAUCAGCAUGCCGCGGUGAAUACGUUCCCGGGCCUUGUACACACCGCCCGUCACACCAUGAGAGUUUGUAACACCCAAAGUCGGUGGGGUAACCUUUUAGGAACCAGC
rnacentral:rRNA from 2 species